CGAUUAUUGAAAUUGCUCAAGAUACCCUUUUUUAGCUUCUAGAAUCUAUUUCUUAGUUUAAGAUCCCUCUUACUAACUAGAAUCAAAGAAUUAGUAGAUCUGUUCCGCCCAAAAUGGGAAUGAGCUAGGGUUAUGAACUUAUAAUCUAUAAUCGAGUCGAUUCCAUGAUUAUAAAUUCAUUUCAUACCAGACCAGACCGGGAUAGGCUUAUAUAUAUUCUCAUUAUGAGAAAACAUCAUUCGAGCGUAUCUAAAUAAAGACUAUGUUUACAUAUGGAUCCCCCCGUAGCUACAUUCCAUUUAGGAUUAGGAAUAAGCGUAAUCAUACCUGUUUAUAUAUAUAUAUAUAUAUAUAUAUAUAUAUAUAUAUAUAUAUAUAUAUAUAUUUCUCUUUAUUUGGGACCCUAUUCCCUAUUCUAUUCAACCAUUUUGGCUUCUAUUGAAUCGAGAAAUAGGUUUGAUUGUCCAUUUUUUUUUAUAUAUAAUAUAGAUAAGGCAUCUUCCGGAUAAUUCAUAUUGAAGCAAUUGGAUGUCUAACUCGGGCCUAUAUGACAUGAUCGAUCAAUAGAAAUACUCCAACACUCCACCUUUGUCAUAUAUUCCAUACAUCACACUAGAUAUAUAUCAUAUUCAUGGAAUACGAUUCACUUUCAAGAUGCCUUGGUGGUGAAAUGGUAGACACACGAGACUCAAAAUCUUGUGCUAAAGAGCAUGGAGGUUCAAGUCCUCUUCAGGGCAUAAUAUUGAGAAUGCUCAUUGAAUGAACAAUUCAAUAAAAGAUCUCGGAUUGAAUCAAUAUAUCAAUAUCGAUUCGAUCCGAGAUCUCUUAUUGAAUUGGAAUAAGUUGGGCUGCGGAUCACGAAAUCUUGGUGACCUUCUCUAUCUAAUAAAUAAUGAAUGGGGAGUCUGCUUUGAAAUCGUGCGCCAUGGAACCACCCCCGAGUCUAUAUCUUCAACAGGAAUUACACAAGGGUAGAUUGAUACAAUAGAAACCUCUAGAAAAUGCCCGCCUACAACCCAUCAUAUAAAGUACAGUACAUAGUCCGUUUUAGGGAUUGACGACUUACCCAUUCAGUGACUUUGGCACUGGAUGUUAUGUUCCCAAAAUAAAAUGGGUACUAUCGGGUUGGGUUAAUUCAAUAGUAGGUGUAUGUUGGCAUUCAAGUCUUCCUUCUCUUUGUCCUUUCAAAGCCUAUUCGAAAGAGAAUCCAGUUCUUCUUGGUUGUGAAUAUCUGACUAGGACGAACCGUCCUGUGGAUAUAUUUGCUUCGGAAUAAAAGAAUUAGAAUUAGGCCCGGUCAACUGGAAUGUGUAUAUUAUCCAUAUAAGGGAUCUUCCAAUUGAGAAGAUCCAUCGACCUGAGAUGAAGAGAAGGUUAUAUUUAUUUUAUUUACUUAUUCAAUUAAACCAAUGAUUCAUUAUUGGAGCAGAUAACAACAACCACCAUUUCAUCCGACAUAUGUAUUUUUUAUUUUUCCAAUGGAUUUACAUCUUUCAUUAAUGGAAAUUUUUUUAUGUAGUGAGGAAUCCCUCUGGUUGCUCACUAUUCAAGAAUUCUUGUUUAGGUUGUUCAUACCAUCCAUACAUAGUGUUUUGAUCUAAGAUUUCAAUUCUUCCAUGUUUUAGCAGUAACAUAUUGUUCCGUGUUCAAAAUAUGAAAGAAGGAGGUGUUUCCACGACUCUAUCACCCAGUCAAUUCUGUUCCACUUAAUCCCUAUUUCAUGGCCACAUAUCUUUAAAGCUAAGGAAUGGGAAACCUUUCUCCUAUUAUAUGAAUCCAAUUUUCAUUUCAUCUGGGAAAAGCCAUCUUUUUCUCAACAAUGCCUUUGUCAUUUGAUCCAAUAGCCUUCCGUUAGAUAGGAACAUAUUUGAUAAAUAUUGAUAACUCUCGAAUAGAGUAUUAGAACGGAAAAAUCCAUUAGAUAAUGAACUCUUGGUUCUAAGCAAUCUUUGGUGACGAAUUAACAAUUCGAAGUACUUUUCUUGCGUAUUCUUGAUGAACCAACAUUUAUAGAUAGAUGUAGGAGGAUCUUUUUGGGAAGUAAGAAGGCCUUUUGACAUCUCUUCAUCUGCAAAGAAUACUCGAUGUGAAAACACAGCGACAAAGGGUUGGUCUUUGAAUAGGAAAAAGAGUGGAUCUGUAGGGUCCCAAAUGAAUUGGCUUAUUUGAAAAACGCCUUGUUCUUUGGAAUAUCUAUCUCGUAUCUGGUACUGCAUGGUUCCACUAUGCAACAACUUUGAAUCACUCUCUUGAAGCUCAUCCUCUUAAUCAUAAAUGAUUCGCUUACCUUGAAAUGACUUGGCCCAAUAGGGAAAUCCCAAUGAAUUGGGCCUUUUGAUGCAAUCAAAUAGAAAGCCCAAGGGCUCCAUAUUCUAAGAGCCCAAACUAUGUGAUUGAAUAAAUCCUCCUUUAUCUGUUGUGGGUCGAGGAUUCCUUCUACUUCCCCUCCUUCAAACUUCGAUUCAUAUUUUUCAUAGAGAAAUCUCUGAUAAAGGAUAGAACAAGAUCCAUUUUGCAUCAUAUCUAAGGGACUCCUUAAUUUGAGCUGAAGAAGCAAUGUCACUUAAUCAUUAUCAAACUGAUUGCAAUCUUUUUUUUUCCGUGAGGAUCCUACUAGAGGGCCUUCUACUUCUAAUAGGCAAUGAAGUAGAUUAGAAUCAUUCUCAACAAGUCCAUAAUAAGUGAUCCUAUUUUUUUCAUCGGGUCCGGGUAGAGACCAAAGAUCUUGAGCAAUCGAUCUGACAGAACAACUCAAAAGAUAAAGAAGUAUUGUUAAUUUAUUCAUGCUCGUUCAAAGUUCGAAGUACCAUUUGUACAAAUAAGAAUCCCCUUCAUUACAUGAUUUCUUAUUCAUAUAGAUAGAUAUAGGAUUUAUGGGGCAAUUACUUAGAAAUACAUUUUGUGCAACAACCUUUUCUAUCUGAUAGAAAAGGAUCCCAUGAUCCUGAACCGAUCCCACCUAAGAUCCCAAAUCCGAAGUUUGUCUAUGAAGAGCAGAUCUAAUUAUAUUAGUGUCUAUAAUUGAUUUCUUCUCUGUAAUACUAAUCGAUAGGGCCUCAUUGGUAAGUGCUACAAGAUCUCGUACAUUGGAACCCAUGGUUACGGACUCGAAUCUCUUAGUAUGAAACAUUUUAUUUUCCAAGUGAAAUCCCCUACUAUAUUAAAGAGUAAAAAAUUUCUUCUUAUAACGUAUUGAUUUGACCCCGUAAGCAGGACCACAACCCCAUAAAAUGUUGCCACCAGAAGCAGAACCCCGUAUUUCUUCUAGCAAAUCUCUUAAUUGUUCCAGAGCAACUAGAAAUAGAUUCUUUAACUAGAAAGAAUUCAGUUCAGAUGUAGGAUACCUAUCCAGAAGUUUUCGUAACUCAAUCAUGUAUGAUGAAAUCAUCAAAGAUUUGACCUCUUUGAACUCUGUCUGAAACUCACUAUAGGCUCGGGAAACAAAAAGAUGUGUACGAAUGAGAUAUCCUGCAACAAGAAAAAGGAAAAGGAUUGAAUAAAAAAAUUCUCAAACAUUUGGCGAUCUUAGCCAUGUCGAUAUCAAUGGUGGUUCAUUAUUUCGAUAAAUCAUUUCUUCAAACAAAAGAAGAUUAUGUAAAACACUUACUUGAAAUAUCACUUAUUAGAUUCCAUUGUGUCUACCAUAAUUUUUUCUGAAGAAUUCGCCAUGAUAUAUCUGAUCCAUGCAUAAUAUCAUGAAAAAUAGAUACAAUGUUUUGACUGCUACUUAGUAUCGGUAAUAAGUGGUCUAAAAAGGUAUCUAAAAAUAUCAAAUUUAGAUAUUUGUACCCUGUCACAGUAAGGGACCAUGGCAUAUAUGUUUGGAAUAGAUUCCAUUUAGAGACAAUUGAGAAAGCAAUAUCUCGUUGAAAGGUUCUAUACAUCUGCCCCUUUUCAACGCAUUUCUUUAGACAAAGACUCUGUUUUUUCCUUUUUUCAGAUGGUAAAUAUUUCUCAGAACAUGGAGUGUGAAUCAAACCCAUGUUUGAAUUGAAAUUGACAUGUGAGCCUUUUCCAAAAGGGAAUCUUUUGUUACAAUAGAAGCAUAAAUGAUGUAGAUUAUUCAAGAAUCAAAGUCGAUUUGCUUUAUAAAAAAAAGAUAUCAAUGAACUUCUAUGAAAUGGUUUCACGGGAUUCAGCCAAUUGUCUUGAUCGUGGGAUAUCAUUGAGAAAGAGGAAUCCGUGUUAUCAAAAGAUUUCCUGCGAUUAUUUCUAGUAUGGAAUGAGUCAAUCAUCCACUUUGGUAUCUUAUUGAACAAAAAUGGUGAUAUUGUUCCUCCAUUGAUCAAAAAUUUCGAUUUUUGGGAAGUAUCAUGAUCAUCCAAUAAAAAGGGUUUUUUUUUCAAAUGAACGAUUUGAAGACCUAUUGGUUCUAACAGCUGAUUGCAGAGUUGAUCAUUCGGACCUUUCAACUCAUAGAUAUGGAUCUCGGACCUAUGAAUGGGGAUAUUCCCGAAACUCACAAAGAAAAAAGGAAGUGAGUUAGACAAAAAGAGAAUAAACUUGGACAAAAAAAGAAGUAACUUGGACAAAAAGAAAGGAAGUGACUUAGACAAAUCUUUUUUGUCGAUAACCUCAGACCAAUCAAUCGAAUAUUGAUUAAUACGUAAUCGAUCGAACACUACUUGAAAAAGAAAACGGCUCUUCUGCUCAGAAAUGAAAUGUUCCUGGAAAUUAUUGCUCCCAUUAGACCAUUUGUAUCUAUAUGAAUUAGGAUCCCAAUUCAUGGAUCUCUCGGUUCGAGAAAGAAAAAUAAGAGGAUCGAACCAUUUCUUCUGACUCUGUUUCAAAUUCGAUAAAUGUUGGUUGAUCGUAUAUUUCAUUAGAGUUCUAUGAUUCAGAGUAUCAUUUCCUAUUUGAUCCUUUUGAAUUCCAUAUUCGAAGUUGCGAUCGGAUCUAUUCAUUAAAAAGAAUUGAUUCAAUACAUUUCUUAUGUACCCAUAGGUGCUAUAUUGGAUUUGAAUCAGAUUUCGGAUCAAUCCAUAUUGAUUGACUGCCUC
rnacentral:lncRNA from 1 species